UACGUAGGGUGCAAGCGUUGUCCGGAAUUAUUGGGCGUAAAGAGCUCGUAGGCGGUUUGUCGCGUCUGCCGUGAAAGUCCGGGGCUCAACUCCGGAUCUGCGGUGGGUACGGGCAGACUAGAGUGAUGUAGGGGAGACUGGAAUUCCUGGUGUAGCGGUGAAAUGCGCAGAUAUCAGGAGGAACACCGGUGGCGAAGGCGGUUCUCUGGGCCGAUACUGACGCUGAGGAGCGAAAGCGUGGGGAGCGAACAGG
rnacentral:rRNA from 1 species